CUACGGGAUGCAGCAGUGAGGAAUUUUGCGCAAUGGGGGAAACCCUGACGCAGCAACGCCGCGUGAGCGAAGAAGGCCCUCGGGUCGUAAAGCUCUGUCAAGUGGGAAAAAAAUUUUUUGAUCAAUAGUCAAAAGACUUGAUGGUACCAAUGGAGGAAGCACCGGCUAACUCCGUGCCAGCAGCCGCGGUAAUACGGAGGGUGCGAGCGUUGUUCGGAUUUACUGGGCGUAAAGAGCGUGUAGGCGGUUUAGAAAGUCAGAUGUGAAAGCCCUGGGCUCAACCCGGGAAGUGCAUUUGAAACUGCUUCACUAGAGUAUGGGAGAGGAGAUUGGAAUUCCUGGUGUAGAGGUGAAAUUCGUAGAUAUCAGGAGGAACACCCGUGGCGAAGGCGAUUCUCUGGACCAAUACUGACGCUGAGACGCGAAAGCGUGGGGAGCAAACAGGAUUAGAUACCCGGGUAGUC
rnacentral:rRNA from 1 species